rnacentral:rRNA from 1 species
AGGCUGCAACUCGCCUACACGAAGUCGGAAUCGCUGUAAUCGCGGAUCAGCAUGCCGCGGUGAAUACGUUCCCGGGCCUUGUACACACCGCCCGUCACACCAUGGGAGUUUGUAACGCCCAAAGUCGGUGGCCUAACCUUUAUGGAGGGAGCCGCCUAAGGCGGGACAGAUGACUGGGGUGAAGUCGUAACAAGGUACC